UCCUUUGCCUUUAGGAGGAUCUUGGGGUGGUUUGCGUUCUGGGAAUGGUUUUCCUCCUUUACCGUUAUCAGCCUCCAUCAAAAUGUGCCCAGGGAGAGGAUCAUGUGGAGGCUUAUGCUCUGGGGGUGGUCUCUCACCAUGUUCCUUUGGAGGUUGCUGUGGCUCUUCAUGUUCAUGGGGUGGUUUAUGUUCCGGCAGUGGCUUCUCUCCUUUGCCUUUAGGAGGCUCUUGGGGUGGUUUGCGUUCUGGGAAUGGUUUUCCUCCUCUACCCUCAUCAUCCUCCAUCAAAAUGUGUCCAGGGCGAGGAUCAUGAGGAGGCUUAUACUCUUUGGGGGGUUUCUCACCAUGUUCCUUUGGAGGUUGCUGUGGCUCUUCAUGUUCAUGGGGUGGUUUAUGUUCCGGCAGUGGCUUCUCUCCUUUACCCUUAGGAGGCUCCUGGGGUGGUUUAUGCUCUGGAAAUGGCUUUCCUCCUUUACCUUCAUCAUCCUCCAUCAAAAUGUGUCCAGGGUGAGGAUCAUGAGGAGGCUUAUCCUCUUUGGGUGGUUUCUCACCAUGUUCCUUUGGAGGUUGUUGUGGUCCUUCAUGUUCUGGAGGUGGUUUCUCUCCCUUACCCUUAGGAGGCUCUUGGGGUGGUUCGUGUUCUAGAGGUGGCUUCUCUCCCUUACCUUUAGGAAGCUCUUGGGGUGGUUUCUCACCAUGUUCCUUUGGAGGUUGUUGUGGUCCUUCAUGUUCAUGGGGUGGUUCAUGUUCUGGAGGUGGCUUCUCUCCCUUACCCUUAGGAGGCUCUUGGGGUGGCUUCUCUCCCUGACCUUUAGGAGGCUCUUGCUGCGGUUUAUGCUCUGGGAAUGGUUUCCCUCCUCUACCCUCAUCAUCCUCUAUCAAAAUGUGUCCAGGAUGAGGAUCAUGUGGAGGUUUCUGCUCCGGUGGUGGCUUUUCACCCUUUCCUCUAGGUGGCUCUUGUGGCUCCUCAUGUUCAGGAGGUGGUUUAUCGCCUUUACCCCUAGGAGGCUCAUGAGGUGGUUCUUGUUCUGGAGGUGGCUUCUUGGGAGGCCCGUGUGGGCCCUCAUGGGAUGGUUCAGGUUCAUGCCUAGGCCUGGGAUCGCCACCAGCCUGAAACUGAUCAGCAAGUGAGGGUGUUGUGGUGCUGAUGACCACAACUCCCAGGAAAAACAAGACUAGCAAGUAUUUAGGAUACAUGUUGGCUUCGAGCUUUAGUGAUGCAAAACUUGUGAGGAUCGAGUGGCCUUUUAUAGCAGAUCAUUGGGGCCUACGUUACAUUACUACGUCUGUCAUGUUCCAUAGUGAGGUCCAUUCAUGAGUCCAACUGCGUUGAAAAAUGUGACAAAAAUGUUUUUUAGUAAUAUUUAUUUAUAUUUUUCAAAGAAUAUAAAGUUUGAAGCUCUUUCUCCACUGAGAGGUCAAAUAAUUUCUGUGGUAGCAUUAUCAUGCUUGCUUCUUAUUGGCUAGAAUUGCGUCUGGACUUUUAGCUUUCCAUUUCACACCGGAUCUCAAACGGAUAAAUUAUUGUUGGCAGAAAGCAUAUGCAGUAGGAAAUAGGAAAUAGCGUGAGUAUUAUAAAAGUUGAAUUGACCUUUUUGUCUUUUUCUUUUUCAUCCCAUAGGCUUCGAUUACGUGAUGGAAAUAAGUUUGUUUUUUCCCCACUUUCCGUCAAAUAUUUUACCACUAGGAAAGUGUAGAUGGGCAUGGAUAAAAAUUUUAUAAUGCAUUUCUCCAUGAAAAGAAUUUUAUAUGCAUGAAUUCCCUACUGUGGGCUAUCAACUAGUUUUUUCUUUCUUUCUUUUUUUUUUUUUUAAAUUGGUAGCUAAAUGCAUAAAUACAUUUUUAUAUUUUAUAAAAAAAAUUCAUUAAAUAUUUUAAUUUAUAAAACUAUGCCGAUUAAAUAUUUCAACUAAUAAAAUUUUUCAAUUGAAUAUUUCAACUUGUAAAAUUUAAUAUAUUAAAUAUUUAUUAAAUAGUUAAAAUAUGUGAAAGUUAUUAUCCCAAAAUUAUAAUAAAAAUACAUAAAAUUAAUUUUUUUUUUUACUUAUAGACUUUAAAAUGCAAAAAACUAUUAUUGUUGGUGUAGAAAAAUAUGAAAAUAUAUUAAAAUUCAUAACUUUAAAUACAUAAUAGAUCCUUACAAAAUUAGAGAUAUCGCAGGAUUUUUUAUUAUUGAAGUACAAGAAUAUAUUUAACCGUUAACAAUUAUUCUUACAUGAAUAACCACAUUAAAUGGAUUUAGUUCACUUUGCGGUAUAUGAACUAACUUACUUUUUCGGGGAAAAAAACUAACUUAUAAGUAUUUAUUAUAUGAGUAAGACAAGUAUAAUAAUAUAGAAAUUAAUUUCAUAGGGUGAAUGUAAUAAUUCAUUACGUAAUAUAUAGAUAAUAGCUUACUAAUCCAAGUCUUUGAUAGCUAUUGAUGAAUUCAUAAUUAUACAGGACAUAAUAAUUUUUGAUUUUUACUAAAAGUUAAUAAGUCAAAAAAAAUUUAUUUUCCAUAAUAAUUCACUAAUUUCAACUAAAAUUAUAAAUAAGAGUAAAUUGAUAAAUUAUGAAAUAAAACUUCAUUAAUAUAAUUUUUUUUAAGUUUCGUGUGAAAAUUGAACUGAAUAAUUAUUUUUAGAUUUAUAGGAUAUAUAUUAAACUUUUGAAAACGUAGUCUCAGGUGAUAUAUUUCGUGGUUGAAGUUGAAAAUUUUGACAAAUUCUUUUCUUGUUCUUUUUCAAACGAUUUUUUCUUCUUUUUCUUUUUUUUUUUCAACUGAGGAUGACAUGGUAUUGUGAAAAAAAAAAAGCAGACUGCUAAACAAAACUAACGACGGGGAUGAGAAUGACAACAAGAGAACUAGAUGCAGUGAAUAGCUCGCGAUGGAGACAAACAUCGAUUGAGAAAUAUAUUUUGUCCCCACGAAGUCGAAAAUUUUGACAAAUUGCCAACUCCCAUUUCUUUAGCAUUGUCAACUUUCUGGCUACUUUCCUUUAGUUGUUUCGAGAUUUAGAAAUUAAUUCCAUUAUUAGUAAUUUCGUUUCCGAGUUUUUGAAUCACAAAAUUUUAAUAAAAUAAUUUUAUAAGUUAAAGUAUUUAAUAAUGAAAAUUUUAUAAAUUGAAAUAUUUAAUAAAUCAAAUUAAAAAUUAAAAUUGUCACAAUAAUUUUAUAAAAAUUACAGAGUAACUUUAUGUAUUUAGUCGGAUAUAUUUAUUUAAAAAAAAUAUUCUGCAUGUUAUUUUUAGUUGGUUAAGAAAACAGUUUUUGUAAUAUUUGGACAAAAUGCAAAAUCAGAAACAAAGAUCUUUCACCAACAGUUUUCAUGAAAUCAAAUUGAUAGAUCAACACCAAAAAUUGUGUUGGUGAAUGAGAGCUAUAAUUAAUAAUUUAUCACAGAGCGUGUGAAUCCAAGCAAGAAUUUGGACAUAGAAAUCGGCCAUGGCGAACACAAUAAUGUCCAAGAAAGUACCAAAAAGCAAACAAAUUAACGAAAGGACGAGAGUUGAAAAGGUUGAAUUUCAUCCACCGGGAUUUCUUUUAUUUAUAUGUUUUUCUGUUUUUAUUUCACAAUAACGUACAGAGCAGAGACAGUGACUACCCACGUGCCAUGUUUGCUCUGUACAUGAUAUAUAUCUUGUGAUGGAUAUGAAUGUACCUUUGGGAAAAGUUUCUGCGUCUUUACAUGUUUGUCAACCUGCUAAAAUUGUCGGUCACAUUCAGAAUUGUGGAACUAAUACAUACCAAAAACAAAGCAUCCCCUUAAUAUUUUUAUCUUCUUUUUACAUUUAACGUGUUUUUAAUUUUAGUUGUCAAAUAAUUAAUUAUAGACAAAAUAAGCCUAAUUUAUAAUAGUCUUUUUUUUCUGAAAUCUAAUUUACAGUAAUCUAAUACAUAUAAAAAAAUUAAUAAAUUAUAAAUUAUUCUAAUAGGCCUGCCUAAUCAAAAAAGCAAAACUACCUUUGGAUUGGAAGAUUGUCUUCUAUCGAUGCAGAAAUGCAAUUAUUUUUAUUAUUAGUAUUAUUUUUUAAUGCAAAGUGAUGGAAGAAUGCUCACAUACUUUGACUCCACAGGACCACAUUAGUACCGCCUCGACAGGUAAUCACUCGAUUUAAUUUUUUCCAUGAUUUGGUGUAACUACCGCGGAUCUUUCCUUUUUUUUUUUUCUUGGUUUGAUUAUAUUUUGCUGAUUAAAUAUAUUUGACAUAAUAAAAAGAAUUAGUGUUUUUUCAUAGGAAAAACAGAUAAAAUGUUUUAAAAAAAAUAUAUAUUUUUUAAAAAAAUUAAAUAUGAGCUUCGUGUUUAAUCUAUCUUUUAUACAAAAAAAAAAUCAGAAACUAAUUCACAAAAAUGGAAAAACAUCAAAUUAAUAGUAAAAUAUAUUCUAUAUAAUAUAAGAUAUCUUAAUCUAUAAGUAAUUCUCUUUCUCAAAAAAAAAAAAAAANNNNNNNNNNNNAUAUAUAUAUAUAUAUAUAUAUAUAUUUUGUACAUGCUUAAAUUAAUUAAAGCUUGAGGGUGAGUGCAUAUGUAACCGUCCACAAGGACUCCAGUCCAAAUUGUCAUUCUCCUAGUGCAAAGUGGAGGAAAUAAAAUUGCACGUGAUAUUGUACAACAUAUACUCUGAUGUGUUACUAUUUUCCUUUUCCGACAUCUGAAUAUCAUCACGUGGUAAUCAUUUAAAACAAUUCUUACAAAAAAUUUAAUUAUGUUCUAUUAAGAAAUUCUACAAUCAAAUUAUUUUGUGAUAGAAUUUAGGUUGUAAUAGAAAAGAAGAAUAGGAUAUUAAUUAGGCGAUUGUUAUAAAUUUGGAAGUAAUAAAAUUUAUUUCUAUUGUUUGUAAUAAUUAAAAAAAAAAUCAGAUAACUUAUUUAACUUACUAUUUUUAAUAGUACCAUUGAAAUUUCUUUUUCUUUGUUUUAAAAAAAAUAUUGAAUUUUCUGUUUAAUCCAAUAGGUAAUAUUUUUUUUUAUAUAUAAAAGAAUUUAACUAUUCCAUAAUAUGUUAUGGAGUAUUAGUGAUUAAAUUAAAUUCUGUGGAAUUAAAUCUUUACAUUUCUUCAAAUUGCUAAUGGACUUAUUAACGAGUCAAUAAUUUAUUAUCAGCAAUAUCGGAAUAAGGAUUCAAUCCUGUUGAUGCCUUCUGUACGUGAUAGUUGCAUUGUGACUGGGUUCUUUUGAUCGUCAAAUUGCCACGCAUUAUAUAAUAAAGGAAAGAUAUAAAACCAUAAAAGAGUAACACUCAUUAUAUAUAUAACAGUAUUCAACAUAAGAACAACCAACUAGGGGCCGGUGCUCAGAUGGUACGUACAAGCCAAAAUACAAACACUAAAAGAACAGAAGACUAAACCUCCGUUUCUUAUUCCCAACAUUUUAUCUAUUAAUGCUGGUCAGUAACCAGACACUUGAUUAAUUAGUUCUCAGUUGGAGGCUUGUGCGGUGGCUUUUGGGGCGGCUUAUGGGGUGGCAGGUGUUUUAAUGGUGGUUUCUCUCCCUUUCCUUUAUAUGAAUCCUCAACUAACUCUUCCUCAGCCAAAAGAUGUCCAUGUGGUGGCUUGUGGGGUGGCUUGUGUUUUGGUACUGGUUUCUGUCCCUUUCCUUUAUAUGAAUCCUCGGCUAGCUCUUCCUCAGCCAAAAGAUGUCCAUGUGGCGGCUUAUGCUUUGGUGGUGGCUUAUUACCCUUAUGUGAGUCCUCUACAACCUCUGUAGCUAAAAGACGUCUGAGGGGUGGUUUGUGCUCUGGUGGUGGCUUGUGCGGUGGUUUGUGCUCGGAUGAUGGCUUUUGAGGUGGAAAAUUCUUAGGAGGUGGUUUCUCUCCCUUACCCUUAAAUGGCGGUUUUUGGAAGUCCUCUACGCUAUCCUCGCUUAAUAGGUGCCCAUGUGGUGGCUUGUGUGGUGGUUUGUGCUCUGGUGUUGGCUUUUGAGGUGGAAAAUUCUUAGGUGGUGGCUUUUGAGGUGGAAAAUUCUUAGGAGGUGGGUUCUCUCCCUUACCCUUAAAUGGUGGUUUUUGGAAGUCCUCUUCGCUAUCCUCACUUAAUAGGUGACCAUGUGGUGGCUUGUGUGGGGGGUUGUGCUCUGGGGGUGGCUUUUGAGGUGGGAAAUUCUUAGGUGGUGGCUUUUGAGGUGGAAAAUUCUUAGGAGGUGGGUUCUCUCCCUUACCCUUAAAUGGUGGUUUUUGGAAGUCCUCUUCGCUAUCCUCACUUAAUAGGUGACCAUGUGGUGGCUUGUGUGGUGGGUUGUGGUCUGGUGUUGGCUUUUGAGGUGGAAAAUUCUUAGGAGGUGGUUUCUCUCCCUUACCCUUGUAAGGUGGAUCAUGGACAUCCUCUACAUUAUCCUCACUUAACAGAUGACCAUGUGGUGGCUUGUGCUGUGAGUGGUGGUGAUCAUAAUGAUCAGCUAAUGAAGAAGAAAUGGAGAGAAUCACGACUGCUCCAAUAAGGAGCAACACUCGCAAGUUUUUAGAAGAGAACAUGUUUGAGUUGGUGCUGCAAAAUUCGAGAGACUCCAUCCCUCUUUUAUAGUCUGCAUGGGGGAGAAUUGGGUCGUCAUCGCCCAUGUCACGCUACACUUGGCCUUUAGUACACUUUGAUUUCACAUUGAAAUUGUGGUAAUUUUUAAACUUGUCAUUGGGCCCACUUAGUUGAAAACUUUGACUAACAUAUACUAGCUAAGGUUGUUUUUUUCUCUUUGAUUAUGUCUCUCUCUACCAUUUAUCUUCUCUAGGUUAUGAAUUUUGUAUAAUUUUAGGGGAAAAUGCUGUUAACUUGUAGUCUUAAUCUUAACCUAAUGUUUCUUUUGACUAUAGGCAACACUACUUUUUCCAUGGAAUAUUUUAUGUGUCACAAUAAAUAAUUAGAAAUCCAGAUAUGGCAAUAUUAAUUUAUUCUUUUCUUUUCUCCAUAUAUUUUCUUCUUCAACUUAGGCAAAUGAACCAUAGCAUUAAUUUCAGCUAGUAAGGAAUAUAGAAGAAGAUGUAGAUUUUAGUUGUUCCAUCAAAAAAUUAAUUUCUAAUUAUCUACUGUGUCUAAUGCAAAUUAGUUAGCAUAGUAACUUUGGUACGUUCCCUAAAAAAAAAAAAAAAAAAAAAAAAAAUUUUGGGGUUUUGGUACGUAUUAAUAAUGAACAUAUAUGAAAAUGCAAAUAGUCAACACUGCAUCUCAAUUAUGGUCACUGAUGCUCUAGAUUAAUACAUAUAAAUAAAUUAUGUAUGUUAUACAUACAAGUUGAUUAAUUAAUCAUGGACUGAUCACUACGGCCCCAUAAUAAAGUUUAUAUAUAACAAGUCAUAUUUGUCAUUUAAGGCCAAAGUUGUAGAGACAAAUAUCAUAAUGAUAUUUUCUGCAUAUAUAUAUAUAUAUAUAUAUAUAUAUAUAUAUGGCCAUAGGGAUUUUACGUUCACAGGAUUCGAAUCUAAAAUCUCAUAGAAUUUUUUAAAUUCGUUUUGCUAAUUAGCUUGUAGAACACAUCCCUUGUGAUUUAUUUUAAGAAAUAUGUGUAUUAUAGUCCAUGACAUUCCGGCUUCUUGCCUCAAAUUCUGGGGUUUCCAUUUUAACUCUUGGGGAAAUGUAUGACAAUUUGAUGCAAUAAAUAUAUGACAGACCAAUUUCAUAAUUUCUCUUUCACUAUUUCUCUAAACUCUAUAAUUGCUCCUGACAAUGCAGUUUAUUCCAACUGCACAGAAAAAACACGUGAUUACUAUAUAGUUUUAAUUUAAUUUCAAGCCAUACUGUAUAUACUUUCGCCAUAAAAUUAAAUUAAUGGGUCCGCCACUUUGUCUAAGUGUAUUAUACUACUCCACGUGUUCAUUACAGUAGGCUAGAUGGCAACAUCAGCCUGACUCGGCAUUUGGCUUCCACGUGUUAUGGACCAUGUCUCAUUACUAAACAUCCCAAAUUACGUCGACUUUUGCUGCCAUGUAUUUGCUUUUUCUAUAUUUUUAAGACACGUCACCUCUUUUGCGAUGUCAUCAUUUUGCCUUAUGCUCUUUACUCUGUAAUUUUGCUGUUCUUCUAACUUCCGCCAUGAAUAAAACGAAGGUUUUCUUAGAAGAGUGGUGCUGAAAUAAGAUAUGGCUUAACUCCGAUCAACAUCGCCAAAUGGGGUUCGCUACAUGACUUAUCAAAUCCUAAUUCAUAUGUUCUUUUUGGAUUGCUGUGUAUUCUCUAUUCCAAUUUUUUUUAGAUUUGAGAACAGGCUGCAUCGAGAGUCGACACUCCACAAUACAGCCGCUUCGAAUACGUUGUUAGAAGCAUGCGCAGCGACCCUUGGUUCAUAGAUAACAGAUAUGCAAGGAGAAAGGAAAUUUAGCUGGUAAUGAUACUUCAACUCGAUAAUUAUCCAGAAAACUAACCCUAGUUUUAUUUAUUUAUUGAGAAUGGAAAACUAAUCCUAAUUCAAUACAGGAAGAAGGAUGAAAAUCAAAAGUGUAUUAAUGGAGGUUGGUCUCCAAUCUCUGUAGCAACUAUAUAUGGUAGCUCUCGUGGAAUAAUUGUUGUUUUGGUAUAAUUGCUGUCAAUGUUUAAUGAUAUGAGAAACGCAGUAAGCAUAUUCAUGUAUAAUUUUGUUUAAACUCAUUGACAGUUACCCUAAAUUUCUUUACCGAAGUUAGUUUCUAAACUUUUUCAAUUCCAAUCUAUUUGUUAGUCUGGAAAUCAAACUUUUAAUUAGCCAACAGCCGUGAUAACAAUGUUGCAUGGAUAUGUAAGCGGUUAGGAUCGAAUUCAAAAUAGUUCAGUUAAAGAGUAUUGGGACUUGGGAGGAUAAGAUUUUCUUUUUUGUAAGAUGUAGUUAUGGAACACCAUAACUUGAAAUGUCUCAAUGGUAGCCACGCUCUUUCUUUAUAUUUGUUUAGGUUGAAAUUUAGAAACCAUAAGACUAGUGCGUGCUUAGAUGCGUCAACUAAUGGGCUGUCGACGCCAUCGCCUGCAACCUUCAAAAAUAACAAACAAACAAGCAAAGCAAGCUUCUUGGUAGUCUUUCUUUCUUUAUAUUUCUCUUACAGGUGUUUUUUCUGGGGUCCAUUUUCACCAACCUAUUUGCUUUAACUUUCUCUCUUUCUCUAUCUGUUCUUUCUUUGUUUAAAUUCUCUACCCAUCUCAACUCAGCACCUUUUUAUUUCUCAAACUGCAAGAAUAUAUUCUGUGGCUUUUUGAAAUUCUGCGAUUAGCAUACACCAUUCAUUCUUUGCUCCACCAUAAAGAAAUCCAUACCCAAUUUCCCAAUUCCCUUUAAUAAUCUAACCUCUCUUUUAAAAAAGCAGCAUGUGGGUUUCUAUAAUAGCUCAACCGGGUCAGAGCAAUUGUAGUGCUGGUGGUGCUGGCGGCGGCUCUUUAUUCUGUUCUUCUUUCUUGUUUUAGUUGUCCUUCUGGUGUUUGAAGUUUGACAAAAAAAAGGUGAGCAGGAGAUAUGGAGCGUGCAGUUCUUGAUGAUGUGAUUAAUAGGUUGCUCGAAGUUAGAAGCAAACCAGGGAAACAAGUUCAGCUUUCUGAGACUGAGAUUAGACAGCUCUGUUUCACCUCCAGGGAGAUUUUCUUGAGACAGCCCAAUCUUUUGGAGCUAGAAGCUCCUAUAAAAAUAUGUGGUAUCUUCCUAUAAAACACAAAUAUGUUUAUAUAUAUAUAUAUAUAUAUAUAUAUAUAAGAAAAUUAAUUUAUUUUUUCUCAAGUAGGAUAUUAUCUAUUUCUGAAUUCUGUUUUUCAUGGGUUCAAUUUUUUGAUGAUAAAAGCUUAAAAGUCCAAGGUUGUUAAGGUCAUAGAGUACUGAUUGAAAACUUGGCGAGCUUUGAUUUUUUUGCAAAUUCAUUCAUGAUAAGCAUAUGUUAAACUAGUUUAUUUUGAAUCAUGUCAUGAUCCAUCUUUUGGUUUCAUUUGAUUUGUGCAUUGGUUAUAUCUAAUGCUAUAGUAUUUUACUAUAUUCUACUUCGAACUUUGUUUGUAACAUAUGCCGAGAAUUUGUAUGGAAUUUUAAUGUCAAUAUAAUAUUCCAAGUUUGUGGUAGUUUAUUCUCACACUUUUUAGGUCAUUUUGAAGAAUCAUGUUCUUUCCUCGAGUUUAAAUCCAGAAAUUGUGUCCAUAAUAUGUGCUGAAGUUAGUUUAACUAAAUUGAGUUUUUAAAAUUUUUUGAUGGACUUACUAUCUAAUUAAAACAAACAAAAUUUGAGCCAAAAAAUUAUUGAAAUUCAUAAUGUAAUCAAAAGCAUUUUAAAUCAAAACGACUCAAGGAGUAGUUGAAUCACUGAGUUUUUAUCAAGAGCUAGGAAUUCUGAAAAUAUGGUGGGUCAUCUGGCAAGAUCUGUUCUCUCCAUGUUUUAUUUUGCCAUCCGCUUUCUUAACUUUUAUCAGUUAGUAUAGAAUUGUGGUAUAUGAUUCACUUCAACAAGAUUUUGAUCAUUUGGAUCCCAGUGUAUCCCCUAAGAUCAUCGUUAUUCAUGAAUCCUACUAUAGUUUGAUCUCUCUCAUAUAAGGAUCAAUUUGUUUCAUAAGAACAGAUAUAAAUGAAAUAUCUCUUCCUGCUUUUUGACAACGAAGUUGAAAUUACACACUCAUGCGAAUCAAUCUGGCUACUGUGUUGUCUCAGAUUCAAUCCCCAGUUCAUUGUUUUCUAAUAUGCCAUCCCAUUUUCCCCUCUCUCUGGGUUACUGAUGUUGAGAACUUGAGAUUGUGACAGAAAUUUUCAAUUCCCCAUUGAUAACAUGUAGUAACAUCAUAAUUAGGUAUGAGAUACUAUAGAAAUGUCAAAAAAAAAAAAAAAGGUAUGAGAUACUAUAGUAGUUUCAUUAUUUACAUUCUGCAAUCAGGUAGAAAUUUUCAGUUCUUGCUUCAGAAAUUAUAUUUGAACUGAAAAUUUGUUCACAAGUUCCCCUAGUCACCAACUCAAGACAAUUCAAACGAAAUUCAAGCUAACUAGUUAAAGAUUGGGUGUAUUUAUCCUUUUCUCUGUGUGCCUAUCAUAUAUAUUAGAAUUCAAGUCAUAAAAAUAAAUAUACAAUUAGUUUUACACUGACCUUCAACUUAGCGCAAAUCCUCCUUUGUUCAAGCAUGGACUAGUUCAAAAAUGAAAUCCAACAUACAUGAUGUUAGCUCUUCUAUAUGUAGUUCCCUAUGUUAUGAAAAUUUCGACUUUCCUGGUUGAAAAAACUACACUGUUGCGAUGUUUUUCAAAGUGUAUUGAAAAGACUCCAGAAUGGAUUUUGUUUCCAACUCUGUACUAUAGCCAGUGACAUUCUUGAUUUUAAACAUCGAUAUCUAGAGUGUAUUCAUGCUGCUUUGGAGAAAAAAAAAAAACUUUGAAUAAUAAUAUUCAUUUAUAUUGUUGGAAAGUUAUUCUUACAUUUUUCUUUAUGCCUCUAG
rnacentral:lncRNA from 1 species